rnacentral:rRNA from 1 species
GGGGGCCGUCAUCGUUCUGUUGGCUUACGGGUGAGUAGCGCGUGGGAACGUACCUUUUGGUUCGGAACAACUGAGGGAAACUUCAGCUAAUACCGGAUAAGCCCUUACGGGGAAAGAUUUAUCGCCGAAAGAUCGGCCCGCGUCUGAUUAGCUAGUUGGUGAGGUAAUGGCCCACCAAGGCGACGAUCAGUAGCUGGUCUGAGAGGAUGAUCAGCCACAUUGGGACUGAGACACGGCCCAAACUCCUACGGGAGGCAGCAGUGGGGAAUAUUGGACAAUGGGGGAAAGCCUGAUCCAGCCAUGCCGCGUGAGUGAUGAAGGCCCUAGGGUUGUAAAGCUCUUUUGUGCGGGAAGAUAAUGACGGUACCGCAAGAAUAAGCCCCGGCUAACUUCGUGCCAGCAGCCGCGGUAAUACGAAGGGGGCUAGCGUUGCUCGGAAUCACUGGGCGUAAAGGGUGCGUAGGCGGGUUUCUAAGUCAGAGGUGAAAGCCUGGAGCUCAACUCCAGAACUGCCUUUUGAUACUGGAAGUCUUGAGUAUGGCAGACGUGAGUGGAACUGCGAGUGUAGAGGUGAAUUUUCUAGAUUUUCUGAAGAACAU